UGGGGAAUCUUGCGCAAUGGCCGAAAGGCUGACGCAGCGACGCCGCGUGUGGGAGGACGCUCUUCGGGGUGUAAACCACUGUUGCCCGGGACGAACAUCUCCUUUUGAGGGGACUGACGGUACCGGGUGAGGAAGCACCGGCUAACUCUGUGCCAGCAGCCGCGGUAAUACAGAGGGUGCGAGCGUUGUCCGGAAUCACUGGGCGUAAAGGGCGCGUAGGCGGCCUGGUAAGGUCGCGGUGAAAGCCCGGGGCUCAACCCCGGGUCGGCCGUGGCAACUGCGAGGCUUGAGCACAGUAGAGGCGGGUGGAAUUCCGGGUGUAGCGGUGGAAUGCGUAGAGAUCCGGAAGAACACCGGUGGCGAAGGCGGCCCGCUGGGCUGUGGCUGACGCUGAGGCGCGACAGCGUGGGGAGCAAACAG
rnacentral:rRNA from 1 species